rnacentral:tRNA from 1 species
GCCGGGGUGGUGGAACUGGUAGACACGUUGGACUUAAAAUCCAAUGCCUUUAACCUGGCGUGCGGGUUCGAGUCCCGCCCUCGGCACCA